UUAGCUAGUUGGUGGGGUAAGAGCCUACCAAGGCGACGAUCAGUAGCUGGUCUGAGAGGAUGAUCAGCCACACUGGGACUGAGACACGGCCCAGACUCCUACGGGAGGCAGCAGUGGGGAAUUUUCCGCAAUGGGCGCAAGCCUGACGGAGCAAGACCGCGUGCGGGAGGACGGCCUAUUGGUUGUAAACCGCUUUUGAUAGGGAAGAAACUCUGACGGUACCUAUCGAAUCAGCAUCGGCUAACUCCGUGCCAGCAGCCGCGGUAAUACGGAGGAUGCAAGCGUUAUCCGGAAUUAUUGGGCGUAAAGCGUCCGUAGGUGGUUGUUCAAGUCUGCUGUUAAAGCGUGCGGCUUAACCGCAUACCAGCAGUGGAAACUGGACGACUAGAGUGCGGUAGGGGUCAGGGGAAUUCCCAGUGUAGCGGUGAAAUGCGUAGAUAUUGGGAAGAACACCGGUGGCGAAAGCGCCUGACUGGACCUGCACUGACACUG
rnacentral:rRNA from 1 species